rnacentral:rRNA from 1 species
AUUGAACGCUGGCGGAAUGCUUUACACAUGCAAGUCGAGCGGCAGCACGGGGGCAACCCUGGUGGCGAGCGGCGAACGGGUAAGUAAUACAUCGGAACAUGCCCAGUCGUGGGGGAUAACACUUCGAAAGAAGUGCUAAUACCGCAUACGUCCUGAGGGGGAAAGCGGGGGAUCGCAAGACCUCGCGCGAUUGGAGUGGCCGAUGUCAGAUUAGCUAGUUGGUGGGGUAAAGGCCUACCAAGGCAACGAUCUGUAGCUGGUCUGAGAGGAUGAUCAGCCACACUGGGACUGAGACACGGCCCAGACUCCUACGGGAGGCAGCAGUGGGGAAUUUUGGACAAUGGGGGCAACCCUGAUCCAGCCAUUCCGCGUGAGUGAAGAAGGCCUUCGGGUUGUAAAGCUCUUUCGGCAGGAACGAAACGGUGAGCUCUAACAUAGCUUGCUAAUGACGGUACCUGAAGAAGAAGCACCGGCUAACUACGUG